rnacentral:lncRNA from 1 species
GUAUUUAUAUACUUGGACCCCCUUAUACCAAGGUCAGGGUUUUGUGUAGGGCCCAUUUUGUCCUACAAAAAGCACCCAAAGGAUGCAAAUUUGUGUAGGACCCAAAGAGCUUCUAAUAGAGUAGAGGUCUGAGGAUAGGAGAGUUGUUUUUUGUUUGUUUGUUUGUUGUUGUUUGUUUUUGUUUUUAAUUUUUGUUUUUAAUUUUCAACAGAAAGACAGUCAAGGAGGGGAUAAGGGAAAGAAUCAAGCCACCACUUGACCAGCCUGGGGAAGUGAUUUGACUGUGAGGCACGUGUGGUGAAAGUUUACAAUCAUGUCUCCAGCACAUAAGAAAGCAGACUGGGAAAAUAGAGAAGAAGGGUACAGUGACUUCUCCAAAAUCAAGUAAGACAACAGCUGAGGACCAAAUCCCCAUCUUCUUAGUAUUGAGUCAUCCUUUGUCUACUGGAAUUCAUUGCAAUAUAAAUUUAUGUAAGUUUAUUUAAACAAACUUUUAGCAACUUGUACUCCUACUCCUACACAAACUGCAAAGAAAAAAUAAAUAAAUAAAAAGCAGAUUAAGGAGUAAAGA